rnacentral:rRNA from 1 species
UAACACGUGGGUGAUCUGCCCUGCACUUCGGGAUAAGCCUGGGAAACUGGGUCUAAUACCGGAUAGGACGAUGGUUUGGAUGCCAUUGUGGAAAGUUUUUCGGUGUAGGAUGAGCUCGCGGCCUAUCAGCUUGUUGGUGGGGUAAUGGCCUACCAAGGCGUCGACGGGUAGCCGGCCUGAGAGGGUGUACGGCCACAUUGGGACUGAGAUACGGCCCAG